rnacentral:rRNA from 1 species
GACACGGUCCAGACUCCUACGGGAGGCAGCAGUGGGGAAUAUUGGACAAUGGGCGAAAGCCUGAUCCAGCCAUGCCGCGUGUGUGAAGAAGGUCUUCGGAUUGUAAAGCACUUUAAGUUGGGAGGAAGGGCAGUAAGUUAAUACCUUGCUGUUUUGACGUUACCAACAGAAUAAGCACCGGCUAACUUCGUGCCAGCAGCCGCGGUAAUACGAAGGGUGCAAGCGUUAAUCGGAAUUACUGGGCGUAAAGCGCGCGUAGGUGGUUCAGCAAGUUGGAUGUGAAAUCCCCGGGCUCAACCUGGGAACUGCAUCC